GUACCGCAAACCGACACAGGUAGGCGAGGAGAGAAUCCUAAGGUGUGCGAGAGAACUCUCGUUAAGGAACUCGGCAAAAUGACCCCGUAACUUCGGGAGAAGGGGUGCUUUUUAGGGUGAAUAGCCCAGAAAAGCCGCAGUGAAUAGGCCCAGGCGACUGUUUAGCAAAAACACAGGUCUCUGCGAAGCCGCAAGGCGAAGUAUAGGGGCUGACACCUGCCCGGUGCUGGAAGGUUAAGGGGAGAGGUUAGCGCA
rnacentral:rRNA from 2 species